rnacentral:lncRNA from 1 species
AACAGAUCAACAAAUUUGCAAUCAGUUAACAGCUUCAACAAUAACCAGUAUGAUGUUUCACGAUCAUCUAAUAUCAACUCAGUCAACAAGCAAGUGGACAUCAAUCGAUCCUCAAACACCAACCUAGUCAAUAACCAAGUAGACAUCAACCGAUCAUCAAACAUCAAUUCAGUCAACAAGCAAGUAGACAUCAACAGAUCUGCCAGUACUAACUCAGUCAAGAAUCAAGUCGAUGUCAACAGAUCAACAAACGUACAAUCACUUAACAACUUCAACAAUAACCAAUAUGAUGUCUCGCGAUCAUCAAACAUUCAAUCAAACACUAAUUUGAUCAAUAACCAAGUAGACAUCAACCGAUCUUCAAACGUCAAUUCAGUUAACAAACAAGUAGAUAUUAACCGAUCAUCAAACAUCAAUUCGGUCAAUAAACAAGUGGACAUCAAUCGAUCCUCAAACACCAACUUAGUCAACAAUCAGGUCGAUAUCAACAGAUCAACAAAUUUGCAAUCGAAUACCAACUUGAUCAAUAACCAGGUAGACAUCAACCGAUCUUCAAACGUCAAUUCAGUCAACAAGCAAGUCGACAUCAACAGAUCCAUCAACGCUAACUCAGUCAACAACCAGGUCGAUAUCAACAGAUCAACAAAUUUGCAAUCAGUUAACAGCUUCAACAAUAACCAGUAUGAUGUUUCACGAUCAUCUAAUAUCAACUCAGUCAACAAGCAAGUGGACAUCAAUCGAUCCUC